rnacentral:lncRNA from 1 species
AAGAAGUAUGAGCACAGCUACAGAGCCAAUUGGAGAUUGAAGCAGCAUGUUACAAAAGCUUAGAUGAAGUUUGGAGUUGCUCAAGGCAAACCGACCCUUUUGCCCAUAAGUACCGCGCGGGACCCAGUUGCAUCAGAAGAUGAUCGUGGGCAGAAGGUACAGAAAUGCCAGAGCAGCGAAGUCGGCUUAAUCAGCGCAGCGGAUCAGCCUUACCAGGAAGUCGGCUGCCAGAGGAAUCAUCCGAGCAGCGGAAUCAGCUGGGCAGAAGGUACAGAAAUGCCAGAGCAGCGAAGUCGGCUUUGCCAGAGAAAUCAAGCUGCCAGCGGAAUCAAAGUGCCAGAGCAGCGAAGUCGGCUUUGCCAGAGGAAUCAUCCGAGCAGCGGAAUCAGCUGGGCAGAAGGUACAGACGGGGCAGAGAAGAAGAGUGCAGAGGAUGUAGAUAAGGAAAGAUAUCCAAAACCUUAUCCCUUGAGGUUUGGAUAAGAACAAAUCAGCCUCCAGAUCUGGAUGCAAUCGUGGGCAGGAGGAGCCCUAAUUCCAGCCCACUCCUUUUGGGCCCAGCCUGUGUAGCCCUAACUCAUGCCUAUAAAUACCACAUGGCUGUGAAUCAUUCGGAGGAAGGGAGAAGAGAG